rnacentral:misc_RNA from 1 species
GAUGAAGAACGUAGUGAAAUGCGAUACUUGGUGUGAAUUGCAGAAUCCCGUGAACCAUCGAGUCUUUGAACGCAAGUUGCGCCCGAAGCCAUUAGGCCGAGGGCACGCCUGCCUGGGCGUCACACGUCGUUGCCCCCCCAUCUACUCCUUCGGGAUUGCGGGGGGCGGAUGAUGGCCUCCCGUGCGCCUAGUCGCGCGGUUGGCUUAAAAGCCAAGUCCUCGGCGACGCACGCCACGACAAUCGGUGGUUGCGAAACCUCGGUUGCCCGUCGUGUGCGGUCGUCGCGCAUCGAGGGCUCGAAAAAAUUGCCGGGCUCCGGCUCGGCUUUCAACGCGACCCCAGGUCAGGCGGGGUUACCCGCUGAAUUUAAGCAUAUCAAUAAGCGGAGGA